rnacentral:snRNA from 1 species
AGCUUUGCGCAGAGGAGGUGUCGUACCCGAUGAGGUGUAAACUGAGGGGCGUCUGUUGCUAGUUGAAAACUUUUCCCAGUACCCCGCCUGGACGACGUGAAAUACCGUCGGCCAUGACAAUUUUUGGCAGGUUUUACGGGGC